GCACCGGAAGCGGGGCGCUGGGGCGCCUGAGGCUGGGACCACCCGAAGCUGGGGACCCCCCAGCCCUGAAGGCGCCGUCGGAAGAGGUUGUGAGUGUGAAGUCCUGCGGAGGGCUGCAAAGGGCAGCACGGUUCCCGACACUCUUCCAGUGCAACCAAAGAGCAGAUGCAGGGCCCAGUGACAGAAUGUGGAUAAGGUAGAAGACCGGACUGGUCCAGUGGCUUCUAUUUCUUCAAAGAAGAAUGAAGCACAAAGAGAAUCAGAAAGAUGGGAAUCAAGGACCAGAAGUCUGAAGACAGAAGAGACUCGAGACAGUUAUGAAGAAUGAGAAGGCUGUGGCACAAAGGAAACCAGAGAGAUUUUGGCGACUUGCUGAAGCUUCCGAAAGGUGACGACGAGGACAGGACCUUCAUUCUCUGGACUCAGUUACAGGAGGGGUGAGUGUCAUGGCGCCCUUACGAAGGUCAGAGGACAACUUGCAGGAAUUGGUUCUCCUUUCGCCAUGGGAGUCCUGGGGACUGAACUCCAGUCAUCAGGCUAGGUGCUGUGUGCCUUUGCUGUGUCCCCAGCCCAUGAAUAGCUUAUAAAAAAUAUUAUAGACAAAUGAUAGGCAGGUGAUAGAUAAACAGACAGUCUCUGGAGUUACAAAAUGGUAUGUUUACCAUUAAGGUAAACGGACCAGUACUGUAAUGCUAAUUACCCAAAUAAGCCUCAAAGUUUCAGUGGCUUUAAAAUACAUGCAUUUGGUUCUCAUAGUCUAGUGUGAGUGUUCCUGCUUGGCAGGUGGUUUGCCAUUCAUGUUCGUGAAUAAUGCCACUCAUUCUAAGAGUAAUGAGCGACAAGCCAAACAAAUGACAGCAUGUUGCAUGUCCUGUGGAAUUUCUAUGAAGCAGAGCUUUGCUGGCCAGCCUCGUCCCUGUUACAUUGUGAGCUACUUUCUCUUCCUACACAAAUGUUCACUUUCUACUUCAUUUUGCACUUUCUCCCAACGUUCUUUCAGUGGUGCUGAGAAUCAAGCCAAGGGCUCGUACAUACUCUGUAAACCAGUUAGCUC